rnacentral:rRNA from 1 species
AGAUGAGGUGCUUGCACCUUAUCUUANNNGCGGACGGGUGAGUAAUGCUUAGGAAUCUGCCAUUUAGUGGGGGACAACAUUCCGAAAGGAAUGCUAAUACCGCAUACGUCCUACGGGAGAAAGCAGGGGAUCUUCGGACCUUGCGCUAAAUGAUGAGCCUAAGUCGGAUUAGCUAGUUGGUGGGGUAAAGGCCUACCAAGGCGACGAUCUGUAGCGGGUCUGAGAGGAUGAUCCGCCACACUGGGACUGAGACACGGCCCAGACUCCUACGGGAGGCAGCAGUGGGGAAUAUUGGACAAUGGGCGGAAGCCUGAUCCAGCCAUGCCGCGUGUGUGAAGAAGGCCUUUUGGUUGUAAAGCACUUUAAGCGAGGAGGAGGCUACUAGUACUAAUACUACUGGAUAGUGGACGUUACUCGCAGAAUAAGCACCGGCUAACUCUGUGCCAGCAGCCGCGGUAAUACAGAGGGUGCGAGCGUUAAUCGGAUUUACUGGGCGUAAAGCGUGCGUAGGCGGCUUUUUAAGUCGGAUGUGAAAUCCCCGAGCUUAACUUGGGAAUUGCAUUCGAUACUGGGAAGCUAGAGUAUGGGAGAGGAUGGUAGAAUUCCAGGUGUAGCGGUGAAAUGCGUAGAGAUCUGGAGGAAUACCGAUGGCGAAGGCAGCCAUCUGGCCUAAUACUGACGCUGAGGUACGAAAGCAUGGGGAGCAAACAGGAUUAGAUACCCUGGUAGUCCAUGCCGUAAACGAUGUCUACUAGCCNUUGGGGCCUUUGAGGCUUUAGUGGCGCAGCUAACGCG